rnacentral:lncRNA from 1 species
AUGGAACAUAAUAAACUCUUUUAAAGUUAUAUACCCCAAGCCUGCUUUUAACUGAAAGUUUAUAGACGCGAUGAGCUCACUCCUGGAACCACAUCAUGAGAGGUAUUUUUCUUCAACCACUGCUGAGAUAAAGUUCUACACAUAAGAACCACUCCUGGAAAAGACACAUCUCUGGGCUGACCAAAGAUCAUAAUCCAUCUCUGUGCAACAUGGAAGACAAGACACCUCUAAGAAAAAACAUGUAUCUCUCUAUUUGUGGCCAUCAAAAUCCAGUCCAUGCGUUUUUUGUAAAUGCGACUUCAUCUCCCAGUAUCAGAAGGAGUGAAAAUCCAGAACUUUUACUGAACUUGAAUUUCAAUGUGAACAGCAAGAUUUGAAUAGAAACACUUUACUUUG